UACGGAGGGAGCUAGCGUUGUUCGGAAUUACUGGGCUUAAAGCGUGCGUAGGCGGCCUAGCAAGUCGGGUGUGAAAGCCCUCGGCUCAACCGAGGAACUGCGUCUGAUACUGGAUGGCUUGAGUUCGGGAGAGGGAUGCGGAAUUCCAGGUGUAGCGGUGAAAUGCGUAGAUAUCUGGAGGAACACCGGUGGCGAAGGCGGUAUCCUGGACCGAUACUGACGCUGAGGAGCGAAAGCCAGGGGAGCAAACGGG
rnacentral:rRNA from 1 species